CUUCCGCGUAUGAGACGUGUGGUGUGUGUGACCGUGUGUCAAGUCCUGGUGCUUGUUCUGUUUUUCAAGUUUGUCAGCCUAAUGAGGUGUGUACCAUUAAUUCGCUAUUUACCGGUGGUGUUUUAAAAUAUGAACUUGGGUGCGAAUUAAAGACAAUUUGCGACGCAACUUUGAAAAUAUACAAGGGAUCUCAUGGAAAACGAGCUAAUAAUGGUCAUCUUGUUUUAUGUUCAGCAUGUUGUACCGGAAAAAAUUGUAACACGAAGGGUGAUUGCUCUACCCUUA